GGACAUCAGCAUUCAAGAAAAGCCAUUCUGGAAUAAUGUGGAUCAAAAACCAGUGGGGAGAGACCAGUGGGGAACAGACUGAAGUCAGGAAGAUCAGCAGGACACUUGGAACAGUCCAGUUGGAUGUGGCUUUAACUCUGACCUGCUGGAAGAUGACAGAAAGUGUGGAAGAGAGCUGACAGCUCCAGCAGAUAGACACCC